rnacentral:rRNA from 1 species
GAGAGGCCCAAACGUUAUUCGGAAUUACUGGGCUUAAAGAGUUCGUAGGCGGCUUGGAAAGUGGGGUGUGAAAGCCCUCGGCCUAACCGAGGAAUUGCGCUCCAAACUACCGAGCUUGAGGAAGCUAGAGGUGAGCAGAACUGAUGGUGGAGCGGUGAAAUGCGUUGAUAUCAUCAGGAAUACCGGAGGCGAAGGCGGCUCACUGGGACUUUUCUGACGCUGAGGAACGAAAGCUAGGGGAGCAAACGGGAUUAGAUACCCCGGUAGUCCUAGCCGUAAACGGUGAGCACUGGACCGGGGGCCUGCACAGGCCCUCGGUCGUAGCGAAAGUGUUAAGUGCUCCGCCUGGGGAGUAUGGUCGCAAGGCUGAA